CGCCAUGUAUUUCUGGAGGCAGUACGAGCGGUCUGUCUCCAUUUGGUUUUCGCUGUAGCGGAGGGGGCUGAUUCUGUGUGGAAUUGAGAUGUAGAACAGAACUCCAGGCUGUGGCAAAAUGCAGCAGCAGGCCGAACUGGUGCUUAUUGCUGGUGUAAUCAGAGAUCCAGUGGUAAAGGCAGAGCAGACCAUGGCUGACUUUGUUCAAAGUUGGAUAAAGUAUUCAUGAUGGGUGCUUGUGUGCAACUAGCAAAAGGCAGCAGAACUGGUCAUUGGCAGUACACCAGUGUGGAAAUACUAAAGCUGGUGCUUAUUGCUGGUGUAAUCAGAGAUCCAGUGGUAAAGGCAGAGCAGACCAUGGCUGACUUUGUUCAAAGUUGGAUAAAGUAUUCAUGAUGUGUUGGUGGAGCAGAGCUGCAUGUAAGAAAUGCUAUGGUAAAAGAUCAGUGGUGCCUUCAAUUAACAUUGGGAUACAGCUGAUGGAGUAUUAAUGAUGGGAAUGCUGGGGCAGAUAUGUAAACUCAAGUGGACGGUCUUCAAAAAAAAGUUACGCUUGCUUGCGUGCCUUGUGCAUUAUCAAUGGGUCUGUUUUGAGUUGUAUUUUCAACCUGGCUGUCAUGUCACUGUUUUGGGUCAGAUGUUUCUACCGAUAUUAUACAAUAAAAGUAAUGAGUUUA